AGACUUGUGGGGAGAUUAAUGUACUUAGCUCAUACAAGACCAGAUCUUGCUUAUGCAUUGAGUGUAGUGAGUCAAUACAUGCAUAAUCCUGGAGAGCAACAUAUGAAUGCAGUUAUGCGUAUUUUGAGGUAUUUGAAGAAUGCUCCUGGGAAGGGAAUUUUGUUCGCUAAAAAUGUUAAUCAUCAGAGUAUAGAAGUAUAUACUGAUGCUGAUUGGGCCGAUGCAGUGGAUGAUAGGCGAUCUACAUCUAGAUACUUUACCUUUGUAGGUGGUAAUCUUGUGACAUGGAAAAGUAAGAAGCAGAAUGUCGUCGCUCGUUCAAGUGCAGAAGCAGAAUUUAGAGGUAUGACUCUAGGACUUUGUGAGGCAUUAUGGCUAAAACUUCUCUUACAGGAUUUAGGUUACCUAUCUAGGCAACCAAUACGAUUGUUUUGUGACAAUAAAGCCGCAUGUGACAUUGCUCAUAAUCCAGUACAACAUGAUCGUACAAAGCAUGUCGAGGUGGAUAGAUUCUUCAUUAAGGAAAAGUUGGAUGAUAAGAUUGUGGAAUUGCCUAAGAUUUGAUCAGAAGAUCAAUUGGCCGAUAUCCUCACCAAAGUUGUCUCAAGUCAAGUGUUCUCAAAAUUUUUAGACAAGUUGGGCAUGUGUGACAUCUAUGCACCAACUUGAGGGGGAGUGUUGAGAUAUUAGGAAUGUUUUCCGUAUAUCAUUAUUUCCUUAUAUUAUUUAGUGUUGAGAUAUUAGGAAUGUUUAAAUAUUAGGAAAGUUGAGAUAUUAAGAAUAUUGAGAUAUUAGGAUAUUAGUUGUUAUUUCCUUAUAUCAUUCUUUCCUUAUAUCAUUCCUUCCCAUUCUUAGAAUGGUGAUUACCCUCUAUAUAUUCUCUGUACAUGAACGAAUGAAAGUAUGAAUGGAAAAAACUACUAUUUAUCAAUUUGAAGACAUUGAUACUCAAAAGGACGUUCCCAUGCAUCCAUUGCAGUAUUUAAAUCCCAAUGUGAUCGAUCAUCUUGCAAUGAUGACUCAUGUGUUCUAGUUGUUUCAUCAUAUUUAUUUUUUAAAAGAUCUACGACACAGUCACAUGAGAAUCUGGCAAAAAUGUGGCAACAAGUUUUUUUUCGAGCUCUGUGGAAGAACAGGAACCAACUUCUUUAGUAGAAAUUUUAGCAGAACUCAUAAGGUCUUCCAUGGGAAAUCCCUUUGGCAAUGAGCAUAAUUCAUUAUUCACCAAAACAUCAAGAGAACCCUCAUGUGGAGAAGAUUUUCCAUCUCGGGAAACUCCUCCUCAAAACCACAUUCUCCUCCUAUGCUGCUACUGCAUGCAGUAGCCGCAAAUAGGCUGAAGAUGGAAACAGUGUCUUUUGGACUUGAGUUGGAUUGUUGAUCAUUCUCUGGAAGUGGGUUAUGAUCAGAAAUUUGAAUGGAGCGAAGUUCUAGUCCUUCCAUGGAAGAACGUAGAUUAAACUAGGGCCGCUUUCCUUUCCUGUUAUGUUAUCUUCUAUUUCUUGCUUAUCUUUUCAGCUAAGGCCCACCAACUAUCUUCACCCUUCCUUCGUCCCGCUUCCUCCACUUCUUUCUUUUCUUCUAUUCUCACUGCCACUACAGAAGCUGGAUGGAUUCAGAAUGUCCACUAAGAGUUCUCAUAUGGUCUUCGGAAAGGCUACCUUAAUUCAGAUUUCCUUAUUCACGUGCCUGAAUGCUACAUACUUGAAGUCACCUGGAUUUCUCCUCUGUUUGUCACCAAGUUCGUAAUAUUUGUACCGAUGUUAGGAUCACGUGUUGCGCUUUUGGCACAUCUGAAAGUCAUCGUUACUCCAUGCCAGACACUCAAAUUGUUCUCAAGCUUGGACCUGAAAUGGAGAGCCGUUCUAAAGAGACCAUGUCGUGGUGGCUUGAUCCAUAUUUCUCGAAAGUCGUUGCAAACAGCAUGAUGCCAAACAGACAUGGCGGUCACGAGGAGAUGGGUUAGGAGGAUGAGUUUGAAUGGAAAAGGUGGAGAAAGAAGUGGGUUUUAUAGGGAUAGAGGUUGAAUGGAGCUAUGGGUAGUAAGAGAAGUGGGUUUGGUGGUGGAAUGGAAGAUGGGGAUAUGGAGAUUGGGAAAAUGAAGGUUAGUAGGAUGGUGAGCUGGUUUGAUUCACGCAGGUGCAACAUGCAUGGGGUGCAGAGGCCAAGAAACAGGUGUAGUGUGAUUUCCUUUGCUAGGGAACCAGGCAAUUUAACGGAAGAGGUAAUCCCAUGUCGACAUAGAGGGCAUGGAAUAGACCCAGGUGGGCCCACCAUGGCAGCUUUGAGUUAGUCUAAGCUAAACUCGGUGAAGCUAGGCAGCAAGUUCCAGUCAGCUUUACCCCCAUUCUUGAUAUCAAAGAGCAUGUGUGCAACAACACUUAGGUGGGCUGUAAUCUCAUUGUUGUAUAGUUCUUUAGAUAACCAGUUCAUAAUAAGCUCAUGUAUUGUGAUACUGUACAAUUAGCAUAGUGUAACGCCCAAGUUUCUUUUUAGGAAAAUAUUAUUAAUAAUAAUAAUUAAUUAAUUAAUUAAUUAAUUUAAUAAAAUGUAAGAGGGGUGAAAAUGUAAUUUUACGAAUAAAUACCCUAGGUAUAAUUGUAUAAAUUAGAAUUUUGUUCUUCCUGUUCUUUUCUGAAUCGUGUUCCUAUUCGCAGAGAAUUCCUGAAAACGUAAGAUUGAAGUCGGAUUUCAGGGUUUAAAGAACAUAUCUCUAUAGGUAAGAUUCUAAACCCUGUAUUAAUAUUUUAGAUUCAUUAGUUAAUUUUAAGCAUAUUAGAUAUUUUUUGGAAAACCCAAAUCUAGAUUAGGGUUAGUUUUUUUUUUUAAUUCAUUUUAAUAUCAAAAGAGUGAAAAUUUAAGAUUUUGAUUUAUUGUUGGAAAUUGGGAAAUCUUAGGUUUUUAGAUGAAAAAAAAAUAUUUGGAAGAUUUCGAUUUAGACUAGGGUUAAUUUAUUUUUUAAAAAAUAAAUAAAUAAAUAUAUUGUUAAUUGUGGCUUAAGGGAUUAGAAAAAUAUUAAAACAAUUUGAUUUAACAAAAAAAACGCGUGUGCACUGGAAGAUAGAAAAUUUGUGGAAAAAAAAAAUUGUUGCCUGCGUGGGAACUGGUUAGUUUUAGGUUAAUAAAUAAGAUAUAGUAAUAAUGGUUGAAUGUAAUAAAUAGAAUGAGGUAGUUGCAAGGGGUGCAAUCCAUGUGUGCUGGAAGCAUGACUCAAAAAGUACACCAGCCUAAGAAAUAAAAAUAAAUAAAAAAAUAAAGCUUGAAAUAGCCAAGACAUUGUUACUACUUAAAUAACUAAUGAACUACUCCAAAGAAACUUCUCUUACAUGUAGAAAUGUCAACAAUAAAUAUAUAUAUAUAUAUAUAUAUAUAUAUAUAUUGUAGAAUUUUAUAAUGAAAUAAAAGUGCAUUUUAAUUAAAUUAGUAAUGAGUUAUUAGAAACAAAUUGGGAAUUUAUUAAUUUAUUUAAAUAAGGAAUAUAUUAGUUAAAUUAUAGAUAAAUAGUAAUAGUUAUUUCUCUUAUGUUAUAUUAGGUGAAGAUUAGAUUUUCCAGAAUUACUUUUCUCCCAAGUUUUCAAGGACUUCUUUUGAGGUAAGGGAAAUUAAUGCAGUUAUUAUUAUUUUUUUAGAAAUAAAUUUUUAUAUACAUCAUUUGGAAAUAUUUUGAAUUAAUAUUCGUUUUAUGCAUCGAUAAAAUAUGUUUUGUAUGAAUAGUAUGUUAGAACUUUAUAUUUUGUUUACAAUAAAGAAAUGUGGAGAUAUUAUGUUUUGCAAAUUCGAAUAAUUGAAAUAAGUGUUUGACUCUGGUUUGUUUGGCCCUUGUCAACGGGAUAUAAUAGUUGACCUUUACAUUUCUUGGUGGGGAAUGUAAUUGAUUUGGAUCCCAACCUCUAAGGGUUUGGUUAUAGGUUACUAGUACUAGUAGUGUUUGGUUCCGUUCACCUUAAAGGAACAAUUUGAGGCUAGCCACCUAUUCGAAAAGUCUCACCUAAUUGGGCACCAUUUGAUGUUUGAUGAUCAGAGUAAAUAAAUAAUUUGAAUGUUUUGAUCGAAUUUGAUAUGAAAAUGCUUGAAUCAGAAAUGAAAGUGUACAAUUAAAAGUUUUGAAUGAAUUGGCAAAACUGACUCGAAGGUUUAUAAAAAUAAUUAGUUAUAAUAUCUCCUAUUUUGCAAGUGAACUUGAAAUAUUUGAUCCAUGAACUGCAUUAAUGUUCCUUAUUGGGCUUUGAGCUCAUUCCUAUUUGUUGAUUACUUUUUAGGCAGCCUUAGUUCGAGCGAGGAGUGAUGGCUAGAUCAGGGAAUGGUCAUCAUUAGGAUUUUGAUUAGGAUGUUAUUUGGACAUUGUUAGCUUAUAAGUUUAUGUUCAUUUGGAUUAUUUGGUUUUUGGAAGCUAUUUAGAUAUUGAGCUUUUAAAUAUAUUUUUUGAUAAGUUUGAAGUUGAGAUUUGGAGAUUAUGAAAAUUUGUUAGCACUUGAUUUAUUUGAGUUUGCAAUCUAUUUGGAUAAUGGAUUUUGGUUGAUGGAUGCUUAGUUUUAAAGUUAUGUUCGAAGAUUUUAGAAUUUUGUUCCGCUACUCUGAACAGGGUUUUGGUAAUUGAUUACUUCCAAUUACAAUAUGAUUGUUUGGGUCAAGUUACACUUUAAGCCUUUAGGUUUGAGGUGUGAAAUGACCAUCAUGCCCUUGGAAUGGGUCUUGGGGCAUGACAAAGUGGUAUCAAAGCGCUAGGUUGUGAUCUUGAUGGGAACUUGUUUAGUUUACCUUUGGGAAUAGAUGAGUGACGCAUUAGUUUGAGUUUCAACUUCAUCUAGUCCGAUUCUUUUUAUUCUUUACAAUUUUGAUUUGUUUAUUUGGCUUCUUAGUGACUAAUUUAGUUAUACCUGUUGCUUUAUAGGACACCAUGCCACCAAGAAGACCUACAUCUUCCCAAAACAGUCAGGCUAAUGAUGAUAUACCUCCUCCAUAUGAGGUUUUGCCCCCUAUGAGUAUUGAAGGGCUUCUUAGAUACUUAGGGACUUUGGCUGGCUUAGUUGAGCGUCAGGCUAGAGCUAUUGGAAGUAAUGGUCAAGGACAAUCCUCAUCUACUAGGAGUAGCUCCUUUGACGACGUUAAAAAGUUGGGUCCCCCCUACUUUUCUGGUAUUUCAGAUCCAACAGAGGUAGAGGCUUGGAUUAUGAAAAUAGAGAAAUUCUUUGAUGUCAUUGAUUGUUUUGAUGAGCAAAAAGCCUCUUAUGAAGCAUUUAUAUUAGACAAAGAGGCAGACCAUUGGUGGCGCAUGACUAAGAGGCUUUUGGAAAAUCAGAGGCCUAUUGUUUGGAGUUAGUUUAGGGAGGUUUUUUAUAAGAAGUACUUUCAUGACAGUGUUCGAUGACAAAAGGUGGGAGAGCUUUCCCGUUUGGAACAGGGGAAUUUGAUUAUGGCCCAGUAUGAGGCUAAGUUUAUCAAACUAUCACGUUUUGCCCCACAGUUGAUUGCUACAAAUGAGGAAAAAGUAGUUAAGUUUCAGGAUGGACUGAAGUCUUAUCUGAAAAAUAAGAUAUCAAUUCUGAAGCUUAGUGUUUAUUCAGAGGUGGUGGACAGAGCCCUUAUUGCAGAUAAGGAUAAUGAAGAGCUUCACCAGUAUAGGGAACAACAAAGGAAGAGGAAUAGAAAUGAUGGUGCUCAUGGUAACCAAACAUAGAAAAUGUCUGCUCCAAGUAGAAAUCAGAAUAAAGGAAAAGCAACACAAAAUUUAGAUGAGAUUUGUCCUACUUGUGGCAAAAAGCACGGGGGUAGGUCAUGCUAUAGAGAGACAAAAGGUAGCUUUGGUUGUGGAAAACAAGGACAUAUGGUUCGGGAUUGUCCAGAAAGUAAGAAGUUUGUAUUUGGGAAGCCUAAUGAGGAGAAUAAAGAGGAUAGACAGAAACCUAGGGCUCAAGGGCAAGUAUUUUCUAUGACUCAUAGAGAUGCUCAAGCUACUUCUAAUGUAGUGACAGGUACUCUUCAAAUUCACACCUUAUUUGUUAGAGCCUUAAUUGAUCCCGGUUCAACCCACUCUUUUGUUUUUGUAUCUUUUGCUGGUUUGUUGGGUAUGCCGAUUGAUAACAUGGACUUUGAUUUAUUUGUUGCUACUUUGUUGGGAGAUUUUGUUGUGUUUAAUAAAAUACUUAGAGAUUGUUGUGUGAUGAUUGGGUAUAGAGAGAUGAUAGUUGACUUAGUACUUCUUGACCUCUAAGAUUUUGAUGUGAUUUUGGGAAUGGAUUGGUUAACUUCAUACCAUGCAUCUGUUGAUUGUUUUGGGAAAAGAGUGACAUUUAGCAUUCCUGGUCAGCCUGAUUUUAGUUUUGAGGGGAAGCAUGUGGACAAACCACUACGUAUGAUCUCAGUUUUGCGAGCUAGUUCUUUGCUCAAGAAAGGUUGUCAAGGUUUUUUGAGUUAUGUUGUGAAUGAGGAAAAUGAUUUAAAGUUGGAAGACAUACCCAUUGUAAAAGACUAUCUUGAUGUCUUUCCAAAGGAUCUACUUGGUUUGCCACCAGAGAGGGAGGUGGAGUUCACCAUUGAUGUGACACUAGGGACAACUCCUAUCUCUAAGGUCCCUUACAGGAUGGCUCCUUUAGAGCUUAAGGAAUUGAAGAUUCAACUUCAGGAGUUGUUAGAUAAGAGCUUCAUUAGGCCUAGUGUUUCACCUUGGGGAGCUCCUGUUUUAUUUAUAAAAAAGAAAUAUGGAUUUAUGAGACUCUCCAUUGAUUAUAGGGAGCUGAAUAAGGUGACAGUGAGAAACAAAUAUCCCCUUCCUCGGAUUGAUGAUUUGUUUGAUCAACUUCAGGGUGCAUGUGUGUUCUCUAAAAUUGAUCUUCGGUCUAGUUAUCAUCAGUUAAGGAUUAGAAGUGAAGAUGUACCUAAGACUGCUUUUCAAACUAGAUAUGGGCAUUAUGAGUUUUUGGUUAUGCCUUUUGGUUUAAUUAAUGCACCUACUGCUUUUAUAGACUUAAUGAAUAGGGUAUUCAAGCCCUAUCUAGAUUAGUUUGUGGUAGUUUUUAUAGAUGAUAUUUUGGUGUACUCAAAGAGUAGUGAAGAGCAUGAGCGCCAUUUGAGUAUUGUAUUGCAGACUCUCAGAGAUAAAUAAUUGUAUGCUAAACUAAAGAAGUGUAAGUUCUGGUUAGACAAAGUCUCUUUCCUUGGGCAUGUGGUGACCAAGGAUGACAUCUUUGUUGACCUUGGAAAGGUAGAUGUCGUGUCAAGUUGGAGAAAACCUAAUGCUGUGAUCGAAAUUCGAAGUUUCUUAGGACUGGCUGGUUAUUAUAGGCGAUUUAUUGAGGAGUUCUCUAAGAUUGCCCUACCUCUAACCAGGUUGACUCAGAAAAGGGUUAAGUUUUGAGUGGUCUAAUGAUUGUGAACGUAGUUUCCAAGAGUUAAAGAACAUAUUAGCGACAACUCCUAUUUUGACUAUCAUUUCAAGCUUAGGAGGGUUUAUGGUGUAUAGUGAUGUCUCUCGUCAGGCUUUGGGUUAUGUUCUUAUGCAACAUGGGAAAGUUUUAGUUUAUGCUUCUAAACAAUUGAAGCCUUAUGAAAAAAAUUAUCCUACUCAUGAUUUGGAAUUAGCUACAGUGGUUUUUGCACUUAAGAUCUGGAGACAUUUUCUUUUUUGUGAAACUUGUGAGAUAUUCACAGAUCAUAAGAGUUUGAAGUAUUUAUUUUCCCAAAAGGAAUUGAACAUGAGACAAAGGAGGUGGAUUGAACUACUUAAAGACUAUGACUACAUUAUUCAGUAUCACCCAAGGAAGGCGAAUGUUGUGGCUAACGCCUUGAGUAGGAAAUCUGUUGGUUCCUUAGCAGUUAUUAGAGGUUGUCAGAGGCAAUGCUUGGAAUAUUUGACGAGUUUACAAGUCCAUAUGAGAGUUUUGGAUUCGAGAGCUCUUGUGGCAAACUUUAGAGUACAACCAGACUUAGUUGGGAGAAUUAAGGCCCUACAAAAGAACGAUUUGAAUUUAGUGCAAGUUAUAGAAGAGGUUAAAAAUGGCAGUAAGCCUGACUUUGUUUUAUCAGAUGAUGGAAUUUUGAGGUUGGGCUAGACUGUGUGUCCCAAAUGAUGGAGACUUAAAGAUAGAGUUUUUAGAGAAAGCUCAUUCUUCUAAGCUUUCGAUCCACCCAGGAGGGACAAAAAUGUACAAAGAUUUGAAACAGAAUUAUUGGUGGUCAGGUAUAAAACGAGAUAUUGCGCAAUUUGUGGCUCAAUGUUUGGUGUGUCAACAAGUGAAAGUUGAGCAUCAACGACAAGCAGGGUUUUUGCAACCACUUUCUAUUCCCGAGUGGAAAUGGGAACAUAUUACUAUGGAUUUUGUGAGAAGGUUACCAAGGACCUUAGGGGGCAAUAAUGCAAUUUAGGCGAUUGUUGAUCGAUUGACAAAGUCUGCUCAUUUUUUGCCUAUGAAAGUCAAUUUUUCUAUGGAUUGUUUGGCUUCUCUUUAUAUUAAGGAGAUUGUGAGAAUGCAUGAUGUACCUAUUUCUAUAGUAUCUGACAAAGAUCCUCGUUUCACUUCUAGAUUUUGGCAUAGUUUACAGAAAGCAUUAGGUACUAAGUUGAGUUUUAGUACUGCUUUUCAUCCGCGAACUGAUGGUCAAUCAGAGAGUGUAAUUCAGGUCUUGGAAGAUUUGUUAAGAGAUUGUGCUUUGGACCUAAAAGGUAAUUGGGAUGAUUAUUUGCCCGUAGUGGAGUUUGCCUAUAAUAAUAACUUUCAAGCUAGCAUUGGGAUGGCACCUUUUGAGGCUUUGUAUGGUAGGAGAUGUUGAUCUCCUGUUUGUCGGGAUGAUGUUGGAGAGAAGAAAAUUUUGGGGCCUGAACUUGUGCAAUUGACUGUUGAAAAGGUCUCUUUAAUUAAGAAAAGAUUAAAAGUAGCACAAAGUAGAUAGAAGAGUUAUGCUGAUAAUCGCAGACGAGAUUUGGAGUUUAAGGUGGGUGAUAAUGUUUUCUUGAAAGUUUCACCUAUGAAGUCUAUAAUGAGAUUUGGAAUAAAAGGGAAACUUAGUCCUCAUUUUAUGGGACCAUUUGAGGUAUUAGAAAGAGUAGGCACUUUGGCUUAUAAAGUGGCCUUACCCCCAAGUCUAUCUAAGAUUCAUAAUGUAUUCCAUGUUUCGACUUUGAGGAAAUAUAUUUAUGAUCCCUCUCAUGUUGUGGAGUUGGAGCCUAUUCAAAUUUCUGAGGACUUGACCUAUGAAGAGGUACUCGUUCAAAUUGUGGAUGUGAUGGAUAAGGUAAUACGACAUGCUGUUGUCAAGUUGGUAAAGGUCUAGUGGAGCAAUCAUAGUAUCCGAGAGGCCACUUGGGAGUUAGAAGAAGAGAUGAGAGAAAAACAUCCUCAAUUAUUUCAAGACUCAGGUAUGUCAAGUUUAGAGGACUAAACUUUUGUUAAGGAGAGGAGGAUGUUACGCCAGCCCAAGUUUCUUUUUAGGAAAAUAUUAUUAAUAAUAAUAUUAAUGUAGACCCUCAAUUUUGUCCCUCGACACUGGCAUUUAUCCUUCGGGUGUCACAUCCACCCAUCGUUCGCAUAUAGCACCACUUGGGUCCCUUUUGGGCUUAGUCGGUGUCCGAGCCUCAUGUGGGUUUGUGUGUGGUCCAUUGUGGUGCAUAUGUGGUUCAUUUCGGAGGGUCACCAUGGCCAUUUUCCUAGUCGUUCACAUCACGCUAUAGGAAGGAAGUGGGUCAUCCCGAUGUUUUAGCUUAGUUGGGGUUUAUAGGGGCAUGUUGAGGUUCGGAGCACUCGGGCUUGUUUUGAUUGUAUCUCCCUCAUCCAAAAUUGGAAUCAAGAACCGUUUCUUUUUAUGGAUUCCUUAUUCUUCUAGGAACAUUCUGUAAAAUUUUCAAAUUUUUUUGCAACCGGUCGGCUGGUUGGCAGCCGGUUCAGCCGGUUCAUCGAGUCAGCCGGUGUAGAACACUGAUUUUUGGUAAUUGUUUUGAUCAUAUCUCCCUCUUCCAAACUUGGAAUCAUGCAACGUUUUUUUUAAUGGAUUCCUUACUCUACUAGGAACAUUCUGUCAAAUUUUCAGAAUUUUUUUCCAUCGGUUCGACCAGUUGGCAUCCGGUUCGGCCGGUUCGGCCGGUUCAUUGAGUCAGCUGAGGUAAAACACUAAUUCUAGUAAUUUUGAGGCCCAAAUCCUACAUGGCUCAGGCCCAUAAGCUCCAAAUCGGUUUUGGGCAAUGUUGUGGGUCCAUUUUGGGCCUUGGUUUGGGUUCCUUGCAGCCCACCACGAAUCCAUAUGGAUUCUUGGUGGUGAAGCAAGCUGAAAAAACUGAAGGGAGUGAGCUAGCCUUGUAAGUCUAAGAGAAGUAAUGAGGGGUGUGGUUCCCAUGCUGAUGAAGGGAAUUUCGGUGCUGAAGGGGAAGGAACCCAGGAGGCUCAAAUGCUAAGAGGGGUAUGAGUAUAAAAGGUGAGAGGAUAGGAGAGCAAAGUGACCUUUGGACAUUUUUGAAGAGGGGAAAUUCUGCUGGUGAGAAAAACAAAAGGUCAGUAGCAUCUUCUGAGUUGAGAGUGUGGAGGAAGCUUCAGCACUGUGGUUUUUUUGAAGAGGAGAGUGACAGCCUCUCAGUUUUGGAAGUCAUCAUCGGCAUGCACGGAUCAUAUUUGGUGGAGAUUCUAAGGUAAGCACGCUGAAUUUUCUUUACAUAUAGUUUAUCUUCCUCGUCUUCAUAUGUUUUUUCUCCUUCCUAAUCAUCUUUUCUUCCCUUUGAUAUGAAGAUUGUAUUGCUUGGGUGUGGAUAAUAAAGGCCACACAUGAUUGUUGUUGUUUGCUUCCUUGGUCACUUAGGAACUUUCUGACCGAAUUAGGGAUUUUAUACCAACCGGAUGGACCGAUUUGGAACCGGUUCAACCGGUUCAGCACCAUAGCUGGCUGCCUCUGUCAGCCAUGAGGAAUACCUGCAUUUCUUUGUUUGGUUCUCACUCAUCCGAGCUCGGAAUUGAGAACCGUUUCUUUUGUUUGCUUCCUUAAUCACUUAGGAACUUUCUGACCGAAUUUGAGAUUUUUUACCAACCGACUGAACCGGUUUGGAACCGGUUCAACUGGUUCAGCACAAUAGCUGGCAGCCUCUAUCAGCCAUGAGGAACACUUGCCUUUCUUUGUCUGGUUCUCACUCAUCCGGGCUUCCUUAAUCACUUAGGAACUUUUUGACCAAAUUUGGGAUUUUUUACCAACCGGAUGGAUCGGUUGGGAACCGGUUCAACCGGUUCAGCACCAUAGCUGGCUGCCUCUAUCAGCCAUGAAGAACACCUGCCUUUCUUUGUCCGGUUCUCACUCAUCCGGGCUCGGAAUUGAGAACCGUUUCUUUUGUUUGCUUCCUUAAUCACUUAGGAACUUUCUGAUCGAAUUUGGGAUUUUUUAUCAACCGGCUAAACUGGUUGAGAACCGGUUCAACUGGUUCAGCACCAUAGCUGGCUGCCUCUAUCAGCCAUGAGGAACACCUGCCUUUCUUUGUCUGGUUCUCACUCAUCCGGGCUCGGGAUUGAGUGUCAUUUCUUUUGUUUGAAUCCUCACUCAUUUAGGAGUUUUCUAGAAAAAUUUUGGAAUUCUUCUCAAUAGGUUGUACCAGUUAAGAACUAGUUCAACCUGUUCUGUUGGAGGACUUUAGGUAGCCCUUGAUUUUGGCAUUUUUCGAGCCCUUAUCCAUGGGGGGCUCAAACCCAUUUGCUAUAGGGCACUUGUGAGCCAUCUUGAAGGUUUAAGUCAGUGUUUGAUUUCAGUUAGUAUGGGCAAUUUGGAAGUUAUGGGUGGUGUGGUCUAGAUGAGUCUAGUUCGAUUUGUAUGACAUUUGGGGAGUCUCUUACCUCAUUUCAACCAGCUAUCUUCCUUUUUGGCACAAGCUUUGAUGCUUGAUUUUGAAUACAUGUUGCGUGAUUGACUCACCCUCUGCUGCAGCGCUUGGCUAGAGACCACAGGUACGCAACGUUGGCUUUGGUUGUUGAAUUCAUAUGCAUGCAUGGUGCUUAAUCUUGAAUGUUUGUUAUGUGUUUAUCUGUGUUUGGCUGACCUUUUAUGCAGCGCUUGGCUAGGGACCACAGGUACGCACCCAUUGUUUUAUUUGGUUGAAUUCAUAUGCAUGCCAAAUACCAAUUAGGAUUGUGUGAUUCAUGACAUCUAUUUAGCCUAAGGUUUCAUUUGACCUUUGACCCAUAUGCUCCCACAUACCCAAUUCAUUAGUAGAGACCGAGUUUCGGGCCUAGAGGGGUGCUACCUCGCAUGAGGUACCUUCCCAACGGGUAACCUGAUCCCCGGACCCAGAAUCUAGUUUUCGUAGACCGCUUUUUCCAUACUGGGGUCAUUAGGGGUUUUUGUUCUUACUUAAUUUUCCCCAUUUUAAAAACAAAAAUAAAAAGUAAGUGGCGACUCCAAACAACAUCGUUCCUCACCGGGGGCGGGUUUUUCAAAACUGGAAAACACCAACUUUUUCAUUUCUUUCUUUUCUUUUAAAAGCGAGUCGCGUCGGUCCGGUGGAUCGGGUGAGGGUCCACAAUUAAAUUAAUUAAUUAAUUUAAUAAAAUGGAAAAUGGGUGAAAAGGUAAUUUUAUGAAUAAAUACCCUAGGUAUAAAUUAGAAUUUUGUUCUUCCUAUUCUUUUCUGAAUCGCGUUCUUGUUCGUAGAGAGUUCCUGAGAACGUAAUAUUGGAGUCGGAUUUUAGAGUUUGAAGAACAGAUCUUUACAGGUAAGAUUCUAACCCUUGGAUUAAUAUUUUAGAUUCAUAAGUUAAUUUUAAGCACAUUAGAUAUUUUUUGGAAAACCCAAAUCUAGAUUAGGGUUAGUUUUAUUUUUAUUUUUUUUUAAUUCGUUCUAAUAUCAAAAUAGUGAAAAUUUAAGAUUUUGAUUUAUUGUUGGAAAUUGGGAAAUCUUAAGUUUUUAGAUGAAAAAAAAUAUAUUUGGAAGAUUUCAAUUUAGACUAGGGUUAAUUUAUUUUUAAAAAAUAAAUAAAUAAAUAUAUUGUUAAUUGUGGCUUAAGGGAUUAGAAAAAUAUUAAAACAAUUUGAUUUAACAAAAAAAAAAAAAAAACGCGUGUGCACUAGAAGAUAGAAAAAUUGUGGGGAAAAAAAUUUGUUGCCUGCGUGUGGGAACUGGUUAGUUUUAGGUUAAUAAAUAAGAUAUAGUAAUAAUGGUUUAAUGUAAUAAAUAGAAUGAGGUAGUUGCAGGGGGUGCAAUCCAUGUGUGCUGGAAGCAUGACUCAAAAAGUACACCAGCCUAAGAAAUAAAAAAAUAAAGCUUGAAAUAGCCAAGACAUUGUUACUACUUAAAUAACUAAUGACCUCCAAAGAAACUUCUCUUACAUGUAGAAACGUCAACAAUAAAUAUAUAUAUAUAUAUAUAUUAUAGAAUUUUAUAAUGAAAUAAAAGUGCAUUUUAAUUAAAUUAGUAAUGUGUUAUUAGAAACAAAUUGGGAAUUUAUUAAUUUAUUUAAAUAAGGAAUAUAUUAGUUAAAUUAUAGAUAAAUAGUAAUAGUUAUUUCUCUUAUGUUAUAUUAGGUGAAGAUUAGAUUUUCCAGAAUUAUUUUUCUCUCAAGUUUUCAAGGACUUCUUUUGAGGUAAGGAAAAUUAAUGCAGUUAUUAUUAUUUUUUUUAGAAAUAAAUUUUUAUAUACAUCAUUUGAAAAUAUUUUGAAUUAAUAUUCGUUUUAUGCAUCGAUAAAAUAUGUUUUGUAUGAAAAGUAUGUUAGAACUUUAUAUUUUGUUUACAAUAGAGAAAUGUGGAGAUAUUAUGUUUUGCAAAUUCGAAUAAUUGAAAUAAGUGUUUGACUCUGGUUUGUUUGGCCCUUGUCAACGGGAUAUAAUAGUUGACCUUUACAUUUCUUGGUGGGGAAUGUAAUUGAUUUGGAUCCCAACCUCUAAGGGUUUGGUUAUAGGUUACUAGUACUAGUAGUGUUUAGUUCCGUUCACCUUAAAGGAACAAUUUGAGGCUAGCCACCUAUUCGAAAAGUCCCACCUAAUUGGGCUCCAUUUGAUGCUUGAUGAUCAGAGUAAAUAAAUAAUUUGAAUGUUUUGAUCGAAUUUGAUAUGAAAAUGCUUGAAUCAGAAAUGAAAGUGUACAAUUAAAAGUUUUGAAUGAAUUGGCAAAACUGACUCGAAGGUUUAUAAAAAUAAUUAGUUAUAAUAUCUCCUAUUUUGCAAGUGAACUUGAAAUAUUUGAUCCAUGAACUGCAUUAAUGUUCCUUAUUAGGCUUUGAGCUCAUUCCUAUUUGUUGAUUACAUUUUAGGCACCCUUAGUUCGAGCGAGGAGUGAUGGCUAGGUCGGGGAAUGGUCAUCAUUAGGAUUUUGAUUAGGAUGUUAUUUGGACAUUGUUAGCUUAUAAGUUUAUGUUCAUUUGGAUUAUUUGGUUUUUGGAAGCUAUUUAGAUAUUGAGCUUUUAAAUAUUUUUUUUGAUAAGUUUGAAGUUGAGAUUUGGAGAUUAUGAAAAUUUGUUAGCACUUGAUUUAUUUGAGUUUGCAAUCUAUUUGGAUAAUGGAUUUUGGUUGAUGGAUGCUUAGUUUUAAAGUUAAGUUUGAAGAUUUUAGAAUUUUGUUCUGCUACUCUGAACAGGGUUUUGGUAAUUGAUUACUUCCAGUUACAAUAUGAUUGUUUAGGUCAAGUUACACUUUAAGCCUUCGGGUUUGAGGUGUGAAAUGACCGUCAUGCCCUUGGAGUGGGUCUUGGGGCAUGACAGAGUGGUAUCAAAGCGCUAGGUUGUGAUCUUGAUGGGAACUUGUUUAGGUUGUCAAACAUACUUUUUUUUUUUUUUGUAAAUAUCAAAAAACAGUUUUCAAAUAUUAGUUACACGAGGGUACUACUUGUGUGAAACCUCGAAACUUCAUUUAUGGACAUUACUUACUUUAUUUGUGAACAUUAGAGUAUGACAUUAUGUGCACCUUUGAUAUAGUGGUGAUUGUACCUUAGGUACUACCUUAAUCUACCUUAGGUAUUACCUUAACCAACCUUAGGUACUACCUUAGUUAAACUUGGGUACUACCUAUGUGAAGCCUCGAAACUUCAUUUAUGGACAUUACUUAUUUUAUUUGUGAACAUUAGGGCGUGACAUUAUGUGCACCUUUGACAUAGUGGUGACUAUACCUUAGUAACCCUUAGAUACUACCUUAAGUACUACCUUAAUUAGACUUGGGUACUACUUGUGUGAAGCCUUGAAACUUCAUUUGUGGACAUUACUUACUUCAUUUGUGAACAUUAGAGUAUGACAUUAUGUGCACCUUUAAUAAGUGUUACUAAGGUAGUACUUAAGGUACAGUCACCACUGUAUGAAAGGUGCACAAAAUGUCAUGUUCUAAUGUUCACAAAUGAAGUAAGUAAUAUCCACAAAUGAAGUUUCGGGGCUUCACACAAGUAGUACCCAAGUCUAACUAAGAUAGUACCUAAGAUUGGUUAAGGUAGUACCUAAGGGUUAAUAAAGUAGUACCUAAGGUACAGUCACCACUAUAUCAAAGGUGCACAUAAUGUCAUGCUCUAAUGUUCAUAAAUAAAGUAAUGUCCAUAAAUAAAGUUUUGAGGCUCCACACAGAUAGUACCCAAGUUUAACUAAGGUAGUAUCUUAGGUCGGUUAAGAUAGUACCUAAGUUAAAUUAAUGUAGUACCUAAAGGUUACUAAGGUAGUACCUAAGGUAUAGUAAAUACUAAAGAAUAAUAAAUAAAAAUAAAUUAUCUUCGUAUUUUGGGUAGGAGUUAGGGAAAAAUGUAACAGAAUGACAAGAAGACAAGACAUUUUUUUUUAUGAAGCCGAUAUUUUGGAUUUCAGCUUUCCGUUUGAGUACGCUUUGCUAUAGCAAAAUCAAAAUCAUAGUUGCGCCUAUUGAAGCCAUCUUUUAACUGGACAUUCCUAGGAUGGAGUGUUCCAUUUGGCUGUUGAGAAAGUAGACAAGAAAGAAAAAUGCAGGUUGGAGUUUUGGAUUAAGGGUUUCUUUUCUCAAAUUAGAUAAAUUUUUGGAAAUUUUAGAUGGGUUUUAGGAUCGUCUAGUUGAUAAAGCCGAGAGAGAAAGAGAAAGAGAGAUAUGUUCCCAACCUUUGAGAGGAAGAAGUUUUAGAUUUGGGAAAUUUGAAAUGGUUCCCGAGUUGAGUGUUUUUUGUGUUUCAAAUUUGAGAAGUUUCAAAUUUUUGAAAAAUAUAUAAAUAUGCAAAUUGGAGUUUUAAGGGUUUCUUUUCUAAAAUGAGAGAAAUUUUGGAAAAUUUUACCAAGGUCUCUCCAGUUCAGCUGGGUGAGGAAGUGAAGAAAGAUGAGAGAAAAUGUUCCCAAAUAAGAGAGAUGAAAAGUUUUUGAUUUAGGAAAUUAGAGGUGUUGUCGGGACUGGUGUUUUUUGAGAACUUUUAGAUUCCAAUUUUUGUGUUUUGUUUAAUUUCAGAAGGUCUUGUUGACAUGGAAGCUGAUUUGUUGUUGACAUGAAGACAUUGAGGGGCAAUCUGGGAAGAGAAAAUGUAAACAUGACAUAGUGCACGAGAAUGAUAUUAUUUUCUCCAUUAAUAAGAAAAUCUCAUAUUUCAUAUACUUAAGUUUCGAAAAGCAUGUAAUUUUCAAAUCACAGGUGAAAAACACAAGUUUCCCAUAAAUAUGCUUAAAGCAUGUUUGAUAACAAUUUUGAAAAAUAAUUUUUGACAACGGUUAUUUAAAACUGUUUUUUGAUGUUUACUAGAAAAAGAAAAAAAACAUGUUUGACAACCUCUAAUAUUUUAAACCUAUCUUUAAUAUUUUUAAAAUAAUUUUUAUAUCUAAUAUUUUAUUUUUAAUAAUUCUAUAUAUUUGUAUAAUUAUUUUUUUUAAAUAAUCGUCAAAAAAUAAGUGAAAACAAGUAAAGAUGAUAUCCGAAAACAUUAUAUUUUUUAUUUUUAAAAACAGAAAACAAUUUUUCUUAUUCUCAAACAGGUUUUCCUGUUUUUUACUCUAAAGAAGAAAAAACUAUUGUCAAACAAUCCCUUAGAUACUUGUGUUUUAUCAAGUGGUGAAAUAUCUUCGUAUCAAUUAUAUAACAACUCAUAAGAGUAGGAGAAAAAGAGACAAUUUUAAAAGCAAACAAGUGGAAAUUAUUAGAAAAUAGGCGAUUAUAUAUAUAUAUAUAUAUAUAAGUUUUUAAUUCCGUUAAUUAGCAUAUUUAUAAUUUUAUUUAUUUAUGUAUAAAAUUUAAUUUUUGGAGAAAUUUUAGCUAUUCAAUCAAAAAUUAAAAGAGUAAAUGUAUUUACUCUAAGCCUCAUGGUGCGUGAAUUAAACCAACCUUCAAAGAAAAAUAGAAAAAAAAAAAGUGAAUCAUAAUAAAAAUGAGAGUAGUCAAAAUCAAAAGGAGAAUCAAAUUUGAUUUCCAUAUUAGUGAUUUUUUUAAUUAUAUUAUCAUUGUAAAAAAUAAUUCAAAUGCAUUAAUAAAUUGAAAAUAAAAUUAACUCUUAUUCUCAUUUUUUAUUCCAAUGUUUCAAAUAUAACUACCAUUUGUUGAUUAGUGUUGCCAAAUCCAAAUAAUUGCAUAGCAAUACAAAGAAAUAGAAUUGAACAUAUAAAACACAAGUUUCUCAAUAAAUAAAACCAUAGCGAAAGUGUAGGUAUAUGAAUAACACCAAUUUUAUCAUACAAUCUUAGCCAACACUUUUUUUUUUAUAGUAUCAAAAAGCUACUAAAAAAACAUUUCUUUUCAUCACCAAGAAAUUACUUUUUUAAAAUGAAAAAAAUACUUUCAUUGAAUGAAUACAUAAUUCGUAUUUGGAAUAAUUUCUUAUUCUUAGUUUUAAUUAAAAGCUAAAAGUCGCAAUUUUUUAAAAAUAAUAUUGAUAUUAUAAAAAAUGUAUUAAACAUAAAAUAAAAUAAAAACACAUUUUUGAAUAAGUCAAAAUAAAGCUUUAAAAAAAAAACAUUUUCUUUAAGUUAUUUUUUAAGUUAUAAAUUGUUUAAAUAAAAUGAGCGGCAUAAAAAAAUUUUAUUGAGCUUUAAAAAUGGUUUUUGACUACUCAAAAUCCACCAAAUUGGAACCAUAGUCCCCAAUAACUUGGGGCCAGAAAAAUUGGCAGAAGGUAUCAGUUAAAGUUCAGUACAUGCUACAUGCAUCCUGUUAAGGAACAUAAAAGCAAUUCCACAAUGCAUCACAUUUGGAGUUUUGGAUUUGGGUUUCUGAACUAAAAUGAGAGAAAUUUUGGAUUAUUGAGAACAAAGAAAGAUGGGAGAAAGCUUCCAAAUGAGUAAAUUGAAAACUUUUUUUUUUCUGAGAAGUUACAGAUUCAAAUUUUAGUGUUUUUUUCUUAAUUUUAGUGGUAUGGGAUGAUGGUGAGCUAGAGGCACAAAGGGGCAAUUUGGGCAUAGAAGAUGAAGCCAACUCAUAGUGCACAAAAAUGAUAAUACUUUUCAUAUUAAAAACUGAUUUUUAUAUUAAAUUUUAUACAUCUAUUUAAAAACAAUUAAAAUUUUCUGCAAUUUUCAAUUAUAUUAUAAGUACUGCCUCUCAUGGGUUGAUACUACUAGUGAGUGCAUGAAAUUAUUAGGGAGAAUUGUGUUUUGGGCCCAGCUGGGCCCAAAAAUUAACAAUUGGUCCAUAGAUGUUACAAAAUUAAUAGAAAGACUAUGAGAUAUUAACUGACCAAUAUGCCCUUCAUUAUUUCCAAGUUAGAUGGUUGUAAAUUAAAGUGGUUUCAUAGGUGUUAAACUUGAAAUGCCAUGUCAUCUGACUGAAAAAUCUGAAAUAAAUGGCAAAAAGGGUAUCCACCCUCCUACCCCUUUCUCUCCCUCCAUAAACACCAUGGUCAACAACAAAGCCAACUGUGAAUGUCCCCCAAUCGAUUUCUUCAACAGCCGAGGAUUGUGAGCAACUCAGAAAAGCCUUUGCAUGUAUUUUAUCAUCAUCAUUCCCAAAUCAAAAUGAGAGUAGGUGUGAAUUAUUUUUUCUCACAUUUUGAUUUGAUCAUGUUGGUUCCUUUGAUGAUGUGGUGGAUGUUUGUUUACUGGAUCAAUACAAGGUUUGAGGAAAGACAUCCGUUUUGAUCUCGUGUUGGGGUGUUCUUAAAAAAAUUUGAACUUAAUAACAGCGUGUUUUUGGGUGCAAGGUGGGGUAUAAAUGAGGCUUUGAUCAUAUCCAUCUUGGCUCAUAAGAAUGAAGCACAACCUAAGUAAAUUGAAGAAACUUACAAUUAAUUUGUUGGAAAAGAUCUCCUAAAAAAUGGCAUUUCACCUGUUUGAAAAUUCUUCACUUUAUAAUCUGGUUAUUGGGUUUAUAUUCUAGAGAAUAAAUGGGUAUGGUGCAGGCGGUGAGCUGUGGGGACUAGUUAGUGCACUUUUGAUGAAUAAGAAACUAAAUUAGGUUUCAUUUUCCCCCUUUUCACUGAGCCAUGACAUUGGGAAGUGGUUAACCGACCCAUAUGCACUCGUUAAGUUGUACUUAGGUUGAUUUCCUGCAACUGUACAAGACAUUUACACUAAGUAUACAAGGUCAAUGUACUAAAUGUACAAGGGUGUACAAGGGUGUGUAUCUUAAGGGUUUUCAAGUGAUUUUGAAGAACUUACUCAUUUACUUUUUCCAAUCGUGGGGGACAUUCCUCACACAUAUUGCUUGACAACACACUCAUUGCACGCAUUUCAUUUGAUGUCUACCAUGUUAAUUCAUUCUAUUAGCUCCCCUACUAAUAAUGCAUAUGAACCAAAACGAGUGUUAACUUUUUCCUCAUUUUUCCUUAUCCAUGAGAGUGGAACCAUUGUUUUCCCACCCAUAUGCAUUUGUUCGGUCGUCCCUAUAUUGGAUUUCGUUACUAUACAAGGCAUUUACACUAAGUGUACAAUGCAAAUGUGCUAAUUGUACAAGUGUGUACAAGGCUACCUAUCUUGAAGGAUUUCAAAUUUUUUUCAAAAAAUUCCUUACUCAUUUCUUGUUUCAUAGGGGGACAUUCCUUGCACUCAUUCCUCAUUUCCCUUCGUACACAUUCAUUGGAAUGUGCUAGUACACUUAUGAUGAAUGGGAACCUAAAUUGGGUUUCAUUUUCCCCCUUUUCACUGAUAGAAAGUUAUGUCAUAUGCUUAUUGGAAAUUCAAUAAUGGAGCAAUGAUGUCAUGUUUUAUCAUGCCUCAUUGAGCAUUGAAUUUUACAUAGCCUCCAAAAUUAAGUUCUUGUAGUUGUAAAGUUUCCAUUAGUGUCUACAUAACCAUGCAUGCCUUCAUGAUGUUGUCCGUGUUUACACCUGCAAAGGCAAUGGUCUGUGUGUAACCUAGUGUGUUGUUCUUCAACUUGUGCCUAGGAUGAUGGUGAUUACUACUCAAAAAGUGCUAUUUGAUAGCCUAUAAUUAAUCCUUUUAAACACUUUUGAGUAGUAGUUUUGGCCUUUUAACUCAAUUGGCAUGUUAAGGACCCUUGAAAGCAAUUUUGAUCACUUUGUGUAAGUUUUGGUGUUUUUGUUAGUAUUUUGAUCACCAAAGCAAGUCAAGACUGAGGAGAGCUAUGAGGAAUCUUGGGCAAAGCUUAGAAGUCAUUUGCCAAGAGUAAAUCCGGAUUGCAAGGAGAAAAAGCAAAGAGAAUCUGCCAUAAAGCCUAUUCUUGAUGACAGUCGUAGCAGCCACUUUUGGAGCACUUUCUGAAGUCCAAAUGAUGCAUGCUAUAUACCAUUUCAAAGCUCAGGAAGUCAACAAUCCAAUGCUUCAAACGGUGUGCAAUUCGGAGUUGAAAUGAAGAAGUUGCAGUCAUUACAAGCCAAUCACUCUGAGCUGAAGGAAGCAUUUUGCAAAGUGUUGCGAAAUCACCCUUUUGUUGCGAAGUGAUUUCGCAGCCUUUUUGAACAGUGUGAUGUUUCUCCUUCUGACGAUACCCGAUUUAUGCCACGAGAAGGAAGCUGGGAACCUCAAGGUGGAAGCCAACUUCGCAGCCCUGUGAAGAUAGCUUGGUGUUGCGAAAUUAUUUCGCAGCCCUCUUGAGUGUCUGCGAAAUCUCGCAGACACCAUUUUUCUCCUGCGAAAUGGUUCCUGAAGCCUCCCGAUAUUUGCUACCGACAUUGGGAGAUAUUUUCCAUUAGAUUUUUGUUGUCUAAAUCCCAAAAUACUCCUUGUAAACCACCAAUUACAUGAUUCCUUAGUUUUUAAGUUAGUAAAAAGACUAAAUAUCUAUGUAAUAAUUAGUUUUAAAUUAUGUACAUAUAUAUACCUCUCGGGAGCCUGUUCUCAGAGAGGAGUUCCUUCUGUAAAAGUUUGGGUAAGCAAGUAAAGUCUAUUUUCUUUCUACUGUCUUACCUUCUCACUUUGUAUUUUCAUUUUCUUACUAAGUUAUGAACUCUCUGAGGAGUUUUCCCCAGAGAAUGAGUAACUAAACCUCUAGUUCCUUGGAGCUAAGGUUGCCGGGGAAGGUUCCAAGUGCAAGAAUGCAAAGCUCUGUGGUUUUUGCUAGUAAUGUAGAGGAAGUGAAAUCCUUUAGUGAUUUCUGUGUUUUUAGUUAACUUAAAACACCUUAGAGUCACCUGGGCCAACACUUGGUAAGGCAAGUGAUUUCCAACCAUGGAAAUGCACUAGUUUACCCCUUGCGAGCCUCUGGGAGGUGACUUCAAGGUAGGAUUUUCUAGAAUAGCCAACACUUGAUAAGCUUUUGGACUCCAAGGAGACAUCCAUUAGUUAUCUCUUGCGAGCUUUUGACGGGUAAUCCAAGGUUAAAGAUCACCUUGAAUGGUUAAGGCUUAGUGAGAGGCAUGAACCAUUGCAAGUUGCAUCAGUGAGAGAAUUAAAGUGAAAUCUAAUUGAAGGAGUCUUUGUACAACACCGGUUAGAGAUUUGACUAUAUGUUGAAUCUCUAACGCGAGAAAAUGAACCAUCUGACCGGAGCUAUGUCUUUUGCAUGAGAAACCACCCCAGUGAACCUAAAUCUCCAAGGAAUGUUUUCUUCCUAAAUUAUUCCAAACUUCUGUUGUGUUAGUUAGUUUAAGUCUAAACCUUUACCAAUCAAAGUUUGUGUUUUACUUCUUAAGCUAACUAUGAAAUGAAACAAAACCAAUUCACUUGGAAUUGGUAUCAUUGAGAGCUUGUUAAUCUUUCCCAGUGGACGAUCCUAGAGCCACUAUACUAUAGUAGCUUUUUCUUUGCUACCCUAGUAUAUGGUGUUAUAGGUUAUAAAUUUUGUUGAUUACUCCCUCAAUCAAGGAGCACCAGCUGGACACAAAUCAGCUGAGACACCAAUUGGGCACGAAUCAGAUGGAUUUUAAAAUAGGUUGUUUGUAGGUUUAGCAUAUCACCUUGAUGCUUUGGUUUGUUAUUUGUAGAUUGAUGGAUGGACCAAGCUUGGUUUACAAGCUCGACCAGAUUGUAGCAUCACACCAUGCCCAAAUUGUCCUAAUUGAGCUUAUUGAAGGGUGCUAUAAAGUACUGAAAACUUCUAAAACAUUGUAAUGUACAUUUGUUUAUUAAAGUUAUAUUCUUUCAAACCUCUUUUCUUCCUAUGUUCAUCAUCCUUACCUUCGAUGUCACAUAAUGUUGACUAGCAUGACAAACUAAUUUCGAGUGAUAUAGUAACUUCAAAAUGCCUUGAUUUAUCUAAGUGUUGUAUGUGUGCUUAAAAAACAGCAAGAAAACAUCCAAGUUGUGACAGUAGGCCAUAUUAAUUUAUUAUGACUCAGUUAUUGCUACAGUUUCAAGGCACCUUGGAGGAUGCGAGAGUGACAUUACCCUCUUUGUUUUGUUCGCUUUUAGAUUGAAAUUUUGGUUCGAAAGACCGAGAACUUUGAUGAGUUGAUGGUUACUGCAGUUGAGGAAAGGGAAAUUGGAGACUACAAGGAACAAAACUAAAUUAAGAUGUUCUGAUCAUACUUGUUUUAGGAGUUUUUAAUUAAAUAUUUAAAAAAAAAACAAUAUCAAUUGAUAUACAAAAUUCAUAAUGUUUUUUUAAUUAUUACCAUUACUUAAGUCUUCACAUUUGCAUUAUUAUGUGAGUUAUUAUGCACUCUUCGUCGCCUCCCACUCCUAUCAGAUGGGGCCACAAUCAUAGAACGCAAAGGCAACUGGUCAUAGACGACUACUUCUUCAUCAGCUGUUAGUUUGGAAUAACAACAGUUUAGUUAAAUGAAGGGGACUAUAAUAUGAGUUAUUAUGUACACAUUGAUGCAGUAAUGAAUGUCCCACAUACUGUUACCAAUAACUGUUGGAUGCCGAAUUGGAGUGUCUGGUACGUCUUCAGUGCCAUGGAAUGCCAUAUCAUCUCGGUCAUAGUCUGAAUGUUGUUCGACCUCGGGAAAGUCAUAGGCUGCAUAGCCUGAGUGACUAGCAGCAAGCAAAGGUCGACUUCUUUCCCUUCGGGCAUCCAAUCUAUGCAUCAAACCACGCAUGAUGCCAAGCUGCUGCUGAAUGGCCUUUUGAUAUGCAUUUAUUGCACGUUCUGCUGCAUAGUACUUCUCUAAUAUUUCUUGUGACAUGUUAACGAAUUGCUUGAAGAUAAAUUACUCUAAAAUAUUGAAGAAAAUAUUCAUAACCAGUGAUUUACAAUAUUCCAGUAAGUAAACCUAAUUGUAAUGGCAUUCAGACGGAUUUAAUUCGUAAAGUAACAAACAGUAUGCGUACAUGACUACUUGUCAGGCCACUCUCAUACUCCACAUGUGUGCAGGGCAAUGACGAAUCAUCAAACCCCUACAGUUGAGAACAUGACGCAUAUUAAGAACACAUAAACCUUGAAAGUAUUCAAUUUGCAUGUCAUCAAAUUACAUAAUAAAAUGCAUGUAGAGUAAAUGACUACCUCGCCAUGUCCGAAACUACCAAACUCACUGAUCUCAGCAGCUAAGCGCUCCUUUAUCAACUCAUCUGACCAUGAGGAGAAGAGGGGCACUGUCAUAGGAACAUGAAUGGAAGGAAUCUUGAAUUUAAUUAUGUAUUGGAGCUGCACCAUGGAAAUAAACAUAUGUGCAUUUGUUACUUGCUAGUAGUGAUGUUAACAAUUAAAAAGUGGCCAAGUAAUCAAUGUAAAAGAAGGGCAAUACCUAGAGAAAGAGAAUGCAACCAUGUACCCACACACUGUUUCGUUGCUUAAAUCGUCUUAUACCCUCAACAAGCUGGUCAACAAAAAAUUGGCCCCAAUUGACAUUGUUUCUAAAACCAUCUUCAUGGAUGGUAUGCCACAAGUUUUGACAUCCAUCUAUCAUUGAGGUUGAUGCCAAUAUUGUCGCACAUGCGUAGUAAAGGAAGCAUCUACGAAACUCCUUCCCGACAGGUAAGUUAAGGAGUCUCUCCUCACAAGUGUUGAGUGUACCGAAUGGAUGAUCAAAUGAGGUUGAUGCAAUUUGUAGAAUCCAUCCGGUUGUCGGGAGGCCAAAUACAAGGCCCACAUCAGCAGCUGUCAGAUCAUAGCUUUUGUCGGAUAAUAUGUCUAUGCGUUUGAAGCCAACGUUAAAAUGGUCGAUAAGCCAUAGACAUAUAUUAUGUCGUAUCUCCUUGCAAUUUAAGUUUAGAAGACCUCCAAAUUGAAGGUCUCGAACCACUUCCAAUUUCUCAACUGGGAACAUGUUGCAUAGUUUUAGGAAUCUUGAAGAUGAACAACGUGUGAACAAUCUGGUGGCCUGCAUUAGAAGUGUGGGAGAUAAUUAGUAUCUUACACAUGAAUUUUAGUAAUCAACAAAAAAAUAAGAAAGUCAAUAUGAAUACAUAAACGUGGUAAAAAAAAAAUACAAUUGAAUGAACUAACAAACAAAAUAAUGUGGAUGAAUAAUUUACUAGUGGAUGUUUAUGUAAUAAUGAAUAUGUAACACCCAUAACAAGUAACUGUGUUAAGUAGGUUAAAAUAUCAAGUAUCCGAAAUAAGUUAUGAAAAUUAAAAACCAAGAAAUAAUGCAAUACCUCCGCAGUGGCCAUUGAAGAAUGAAUUUAUUGUUGAAUGCUUGAACCUUGGAAUAACCGGUAACUUCAAAUGGGUGCUAUAGUAGUUAUCGCUAAGCUGGAAAGACUAAUAAUAAAGGGAAAGGUCAUUUGACUAUUCAUACCAUUAAUCAGUUGGAUAAAUUUGGUAAUGGUAUACCAUAUUCAAAUUUAUAAGGUAAAAAUAAAUAAAAUAAAUAAAAAUAUGGCAAUUUAGGAAAGCGUUAACAGUUUGGGCGCAAACACGUGUAUGAACUACUAUCCUACUGCCAACUGAUCAUAUAAAUUACUAGAUAAUAACUGGAAUGGUUACAACGUGCGUAACAAGUAUAUCUCAUUGAAGACAAAUUGAAAGACAAUUUUUAGUACAUGUUAGGAAUUCAUGACACAUUCAAAUAGGUGCAACCAAAAAUGCUUGAUAAUGUAGACACACUGAUGGAAUUAAAUAACAAGUGAAAAGAAACCACAUUCAAAUUGCACUUUCAAUUAAUUAGGUUAAUCAAAGCAAUUGUAAAUCAUGAAAAGAACAAAAUAGUGCAUCGUGCCUAUAAAGAGGCCAAUACAUAAGAACGAAAAUCAACAACCCCAUACCAUAUACCCUACAAUAGAAUGUAUGGGAUGAUACAAAAUAUGAGAAUCGUACAAGCACAAAAAAGACACAUGUCAUGGCAACGGAUUAUUACAUUUAGAGUAGUUGUGACCUAUGCCAUUGCAUCGAGAGCAAUGAAUUGCUCUCUUAUGACUAAAUUGUGACUCAAUGCGUCUUUGGCGGGGUCUUCCUGGAGGAUGUCUCACAUGAGGGGGUUGGAGAGUAGGAAAGAAUUUGCCCGCACAAUCUUGCAAACUCCCAUCGUCACAAACUUUCGGCAUAUUGUGUGUUGGUAAUAGUUGAAUGAUUACUACCCAAUUAAUUAUAAUGGUUAAUUGGGUAGUAAUCAUAUUCAUUUAACCCAAUUAAUGGUUUUAAGCUAAUUAUAAUGGUUUUAAGCACCUUUGAGUAGUAAUCAUAUUCAUUUAACCCAAUUAAUUCAUUAAGGACCUUAGUAAUUGGUUUUAACCAUUUUGUGGCAAGUUUACAUGUUUUUAUCAGCUUAUGAAUCAAUUCAAGCAUGCCAAAUGAUGGAGGAGCUACUUGGACAAGUUAUGGCAAAGCUUUUGGAAGCUCAAAUUCAUGAAGAACCAAGCUUUGGAACUCCAUAUCCCUUUGCCAAAGUCGUUCAAAGUAUGCAAUGAAAGAACAAUGGAGAAGAGGAAAACAAAGUGAAAAAAUCAGAGGACAGCAGCUGCAAUCUUCUUUCGCACUUUUGGAGCACUUCCCGAAGUCCAUUUUUUACAUGCUAUAUACCAUUUCAAAGCUCUGGAAGUCAAAAAUCCAACGCUUCAAACCGUGCAUGAUUUGGAGUUGAAAUGAGGAAGAUAUGGCCUUCGGAAGACAACUGCUCCAGGUUAUGCGAAAUUCGCAUAACACCUUCAAAAUUCGCAUAACCCAUGCGUGUUGCGAAUUUUCCUCUGCUUUUGCCGACUCCACUUUAGAUAUUUUCCUUUGUAUUUUGUGAUGUAAUUUCCUUUCUUAUCCUUGUAACUAACCAAUCACAAGCUUUUGCUUUUGUAAAGACUAUAUAAGAGGUGGAAAUCACCUCUUGGAAGAUAUAGAAGAUAUAUUACGUUUUACACUUAGAAUAGAUACAGAGCUCUCUCGUUUCUCCUGUUCUUUCCCAUUUCUAUUUUCUUAGUAGCCAAACAGCCUCUGAGGGCUUUUCCUUAGAGGAUGAUUGGCUAAGACUUUUAGUUUCUCAAAGUAUGGAUGUUAUGUGAUGGCUUGGAUGCAAUCCCAUGGAAAUUUCUCGCACCCGGAAGGUAAGGUAGACGUUUUUCAUUAAAGGUUCAUUAAUGCAAAGUUUGGUUUUUAUUUCCUUUGGACAACUUCCAACGGUCAAUACUUGAUAAGCUUUUGGAUUUCUAUCCAUUAGUUAUCUCCUACGAGCUAUUGGAAGGUGAGGUUUUCAAUUCCAAAUUUUGCAUUAAUCCGUUAGAACCAAUUUCAAUGGUCAUUAAAAGGUGAGUUUAUCACUUGGAAUGACUUUGAGUUGCCAAUAUUUGGUAAGCUUUUGGCUAUAGACCAUUAGUUAUCUCUUACGAGCCAUUCAAAGGAAGUCUAAGGUGAAUAACCAUUGAUGAAAUUCACUACCAUCUGUUUUGCCAUUUUAAAGGAUUAAAACUUGAUUUGCUAAAUCCAUACCGGUUUGGGAAGCAAGCAUCACCAUAGUUGCAACCCCAACGCGAGGAGCCUAUCCUGAGAUUUCCAAUUUGCAUAAGAGCCAGAGCAUAGCUAUCCUAUCUUUGAGAAACUUGUUUUUACACCCUUUCAUUUUAGUCUUUAAUGUUAGCUUAGAUUAGUUUAAAUCUUUCUAAAACAUUUACAUCUUCUUUUAAAGCUAACAUCCAUAAGAAAAUCACCUAUUUUCCUAAUUUGAAUAUCACUAGUGUUUGCGAAAACCCUUCCCAGUGAACGAUCCUAGAACCACUAUGCUAUAGUAGCUUGGCUACUUUAGUAAUAGUAUCUAAGGUAUAAAUUUUGUUGAUACGCCUUUAAAGUUAAGCUACCAUGAUUCGAAUCAUUGAAAUUGACCCAAGUAAAUCAAAUGUUGCAUAAAGACAUGAAAACAUGGGUCAAUAUACUCAUACACGUUGUGUCUCAGUGUGCGGAUGACAGCACAUACGUGUGAACAUGGCCAGCUGGACAUUUUCCAUGUCAUGCAAGUACACGUACGUUGAUUGAUAUCGACAACCAAAAUAAACCUCCCCAGUAAACACCUUAAACGUCUCCCCCAAAUAGGGCAACACACUAAUAGGACCAGACCUCGUGAUAUUUGACAUUAGCUUCUCUUCAAUUUUCGGUCCGACCACACUCUUCCACUUUUGUGUACCACGCAUAUGGGUGUCCAACAUGGCUACAAGCUUAUCCAUGUGCAUUAACAAUAACGUAUAAAUUGUUUGGUGACGCUUAUCUCUUAACCACACAUUGAAGGACUCUACAAUGUUAGUUGUCAUUUUAUCCCAUCGUUUUUUAAGAAACUUUGACAUUGCCCAAUGUUCAGGAUUGUUUUCCGCAACCCAUUUUGCGAGGCUGUCAUUGAAGCACACAAGUUUUUCAAAUGCCUCGUUGUGGUCUAUCUCCAACCUAGCAUAUGCAAUGUUGUCCAAAAGUAACAAAGCAUCUUCUUUCCCUUUUUUUCCUCUAAUGUUUUGCUUAUUCAAGAAGCUAGAAAAGUUUUCAUUUGCAUGUCAUAACAAUAUGCAUGAUUUCCUGUCCCGAACAACUCGGAAACACUACGCAAGAUUCCCUAAUGUCUAUCUGAUAUAAUAACAACUUCUUUACCAUCUAAGACUCCCUUUAAUUUCUCCAAAAACCAAUACCAGUCCUCAUAAUUUUCUGAACUAACCAUACCAAGGGCUAGAGGGAACAUUCCAUCAUCUGCAUCAUAUGCAAUGGUGGACAAAAGAGCCCCCUUAUAUGGUCAGCUUAGAUGGCAAGAAUCAAUAGUCAAUACUAGUCGACACCCCAUGAUGAACCCUUGAAUUGAAAAUGCAUGGGCAAUGAACAAUUGCAUGAAGUGACCUUCAUGGGAAGUGUACACAGCAAUUGUGCCGGGGUUGAUUUCCCUUAGCCUAUGGCAUAACCAAGGGACAAGCGUGUAGGACUCACGUGAAGCUCCAUAUGUGCGCUCGUUUGCCUUUUCUUUAAGGUGUCAUACUUGGUUAUAUGUCAAUUGAACUCCAUGAUCACGUUUAAAAUCCUUACAAAUUUGACAGGGAAGAUAGUCUAGAGUGGUUCUAAACACAUCUUCAACAACAACCGCGUCUCUCUUUGAAGAAACCUUGACCUUGGAUGAACACUCAUCCUAAGCGAUAUGAUUAUGAUUCACUUGGUCAGUAUGAACUCGCAAGAUGACAUUUCCCUCUACAACGUGAGUUGUUAUCUUUUAAGGACAACCCUCAACUGAACACUUUACAGACAUAUGCGUAAGGGAAUUUUUCUUGUACUUGUAUUCAAACCUUCCACCUAAUGACAUUUGGUAAAUUGUGUUGCGAAACUCCUUAGCAUUUUUAAAUGUAUGUCCCGACCCUAAUAUUGUCUCACGAAAACAAAUCGAUUCCAAAAGGGUGUACUCACUAUCUACACAAUGCGACGCAAAACCUAUUGAUAGCAUCAUAGUAUUAGGAAUUGCAUCGCAUGAUGCAUUAAAGGAAGGAAAUGGCGCAGGUGGACCUCUACAUUUACAUACAUUAACAUAAUUAGACUACGUGAUGCGUAAAAUUGAUAUUCACAAUAUUUUAAAUAGACAUUCAUGUUAAAGUCCACUACCCAAUUGCCAACUCUGUAUUCGGUAUAUUUGCUUCAAUGGCUUCCACACAGGGUAAGUCUACUAGGUAUACAUUUGCAAAGUCAUCACUGUGGGAAACCACGUUAUCCAAGUCAUCCUCAUCUUCUAAAUCUUGGAUGACUCUGGGGUUGAACUUGAGGGUUUAGUGCAUCUUCAUCGCAUCAAAGGAGAUGUCGAAUUUCUCUAAGAUUUUUUUGGUGAAUUCUUCAAAUGACAUUCCUUUAUAUAUGUGGAUACCUUUGCUUCUUCCACCCACGUAUUCCCAUUGCCCAUCAUUUUUUUGGACAAGUUUGCCUCCCACGAAAAUGUAACAAUAUAUCCUAUUAGUUGUGUCCAUCAACCUAUACAAACAUAGCACAAAUUUCAUAUUAUAGAACAAACAAUUGUGCAUAUUAUAGAAAAUGGGGUUGAUCUUCUCUCUCAUGUGGCCUUUUGCUUUCAAGUUGACAUUAUUAUUAGUCGCCAUGUCAAGUUUAUCAGCCAUCAUUUAUACAUAUACUUUUCCUUUUGUUACUUUACUUAUUCUGUUUUUUCACAAGUUGGUUGACUCUUUCUCUGUUUUUGCAUAUUGUUAUGACCCUCUGGAUCCUAAUGGGAACAUCACAGUUACUUUUGACACUCAUAAAUGGACAGAUGAUGGCAAUGUGGUAAGUGUUUUGACUCAUGCUCAAUAGUCAACUUCAAAUUUCUCUGAAUUUCAUUCUGGUUGAAUUGUAUGCUGAAAAUAAUAUUGACUUACAUGAGUUUGCUAUUCAACAUCAGUGAAUAGUAAACAUGGAUUGUUGGAAACCAUUUUGGAUUUCAAUGAGAAAUCCCUUGAUUCAUUUGUUAUGUAUUGAAUCCCUAGUUGUUGGUCUGAUUUAAUAGAAUUAAGGGACAUUGAACUAGCUUUGAACUAAUUUGUUUCUUUAUUUGCCAUUUAUAUUCAUGUUAGCUACAGAUUUCAUGAAGUUGGAAAUGAUAAUCUAUCUACACAUACUAAGUAGCCCAUAAUAUCUCAUACUAUAGGGUCACCAAAACUUGGGUUUUAUCGAAGAAAGUUAACAAACGAACUAUCGUACUUAACUAGACUACCACACGAGGAAGCCAAUAUAAUGCUAAAAGAUUUUAUUUGAACCAAAUGAGGAAAAAUAUGUCUACAAAAGGAAAAUCAAUUUGCAUUGACUAAUCAUAUAUUAGAAUCAAAUUGCACGUAGAAAACAAACUUCUUAAAUGAAUAUGCAAUGCUAAAUCAAACAAACAUCAGUGAACCAAGUAAAAUGUAGGCAAAAUCAAAAAAUAUUUUUAUGUCAUUUUCAUCAUCACCAUUAUCGUUCAUUCCAAUUGCGGGUUGUCAUAUUGAUGGAGAAACAAGUCAAUCAUGGUGACAUCAUAGGUUAAUAAAAAGAAGUGGGUUUUCUAUGUCAAGCCUAUCAAUCAUGUAAAUUGAACACAAACAUAAUUAUCUAAACAAAAACUGUUGAUACCACAACAUGCAGCUACAAUUAACCUAUGAAGAUCCUCACUAUUUCAAACUGUGAGCCAUGUCUUAGAAACACCAUAACCCACAAUGAAAGAUGACUAUCAAGAGAUCAAGUCAUCCACACAAAAUAAAGAGUUGAUAAUCAUAAUGCUAAAUCAAAAAACACCCAAUAUAUAUAUAUAUAUAUAUAUAUAUAUAUAUAUAUAUAUAUAUAUAUAUAUGUUAAACCAAAAAACAUUAGUGACGGGGUUUAAGCUUAAAAAAAAAAGACCGUUUUACCUGAUGCUAAGAGAAGCUCCCUCCUCAAUUCAAACAAUAAGCAACCUCCAGAAAGUCCCACCAAACAUCAAAUAUCCAACAAUGCUCAGCACAGAGGGCACAGUCGAUGGGGAUCGAUCAAGGAGCAAUAUAUGGCAAACUGAAAUCGCAAGAUAAAUUAGGGCAAUGUAUUUGGGCUAAAAUCAAAUGGUCCGGAUAGCCGAAAUGAAGCAUAAAAUGAAAUUGUUGAACCUACUAACCUCAACUAUCAACUACUUCACCACGGAGCCCAAAUCCAAUGGUGAUCGUCGACGCCAAUAAAUCAAUAGAGAUGAAAAACUCCACUACCUACACCUAAAACCAGAUGGUCGGGAAAUACGAGAUCGAGAGAUAACGAGAUUGGCACAGAGGAUUAGGGCAUUCUUUGGGCGGAAGCGAGGGACGAAGUUGGGAAUGUGAAAACGCCUAAUGCAAACUCCAAUUUGGGAAAAACAAAGGGAGAAAUCCAACAUGGAUUUUAGAUUUUUUUUUUUUUUUUUAAUACCCAGGAAAGGGCAUUUUCAGCACAUUAUACAUGGGAUAUCCUUCUUAUCAAUUUUGAGAUUUUGUUUGGGUGGUGGGCUUAAUUUUGUAACAUCUAUGGACCAAUUGUUAAUUUUUGAACCCAACUGGGCACAAAACACAAUUCUCCCAAAUUAUUAUAAAUAUCUCAUGGAAUGAGGACAAAUUAAAUAAGAGGAGUGAGAGAGGGAGAAGAAGAAGACAACCAAAAAAGAAAAAGAAGACAGCAUUGUAAACAUAGAAAGUGGAAAGUAUUGGAAAUAUUUCAUGAAAUCGGAGUAAACAACAAAACAAAAUUAAAUACUUUUCAUCCCUGUUUCCUACUUCUAUCAUAAAGUAUGGAUAGACAUAUAGAUAGAGAUGAGGAGAAGGAGGAGAAGGAGGAUCACUCAGCUUUCACCAGUCCUGCAGUGUGUUCUGGUGGUGUAGCAUAUGGUAGGAUGUCAUUCUUGCUCCAAAAGUGUGGGCAGAUCCAUUUUUUUUUCCUUUUUUCAUCUCUGUCCUCACUGAUUCGUUUUGGAUUUCCAUCAGUAUUUAUCAGUGGGCUUGGUGUUAGUCAAAAGCCACCUAUUUUUCUUUCCUUUUUUUCCCAUAUAUUAGAAUGAAAUGUUGUUGUCCAUUUUAGGGGAAGGCGUUAUGCUGAACUGAAUUGUGCGAGGGGAAUGAAAAUUAAUUUAGGGGUUUUUUUCCUCCUCUAUUUUUGGCUCUCUUUCAUGAGGGUACAGAUUCUCUUUUUUCUCUCGGAGUGUUUGGAUUGUUUCAUUCCAUUUAACUAUUUUUGCAGCAUAUUCCGAGUGUUAUAGGUAUUGGGUAAUCAGUAUUACAGAAAAUGUAAUAUAAUUUUGUACUAUGUAUUUUUGGACUUGGGGUAGGACGAGUUUAAUUUAUGUAGAUUCAUGUCACAAUUCUCCGCCUUCAAUGCAUUGAUUUCUCCAGAUUUUGAUAUAUAUAUAUAUAUAUAUACAAACUGCAAUGGGAAUAAAAAGGAUGGUUGUUUCUUCAAGAAUUCUGAGAAAAAAAAAGGUGGUGGUGGGGGGGAAGAGAGGUUUGAGGAGGCCAUUGGGACUUUUAUCAGUUCUGUGUCUUUUGUUUUCAAGUUGUAAGAAGUCCCUGUUAUGCCAUUUGCUAUGUUGUUUGUGUCCAAUUUUCAGUUGAAAGAGUGGUAGAUUAGAGAAGGAGGAAUGGCUCAGACAUCUGGAUGCAGCUCUGGAGAUGGUAGAUGGUCUCUCAAGGGAAUGACUGCUCUUGUAACUGGUGGAACUAAAGGAAUUGGGUUUGUGAUGUUACCUGUAUUUUAUGUCUUUGGUUUGGACUAUACCUUCCUUCCCAUAUAUAAAUGUAUGCAUCAAUUAUGCAGGCAUGCAAUUGUGGAAGAACUGGCUGGACUAGGAGCAACCAUACACACAUGUUCUAGAAAAGAAACCGAGCUCAAUGAAUGCUUGAAGGAUUGGAAAGCUAAAGGUUUUGGAGUGAGUGGUUCAGUGUGUGAUGUAUCCUCUCGGGCCCAAAGGGAGAAGCUAAUGCAGACUAUCUCUUCUGUGUUCAAUGGGAAGUUGAAUAUCCUUGUAAGUUCCUCUAGCCUGUAAAGUUCCAACCUGUGAUCUUACACAAAAUUUGUUGAACUUACUACAAUUGAGUUCCCCUGCUUGAAUUUUUGUUGGAUUCAGAUCAACAAUGCUGCUAUAACUAUUCAGAAACCAACAGUAGAGGUCACAGCUGAAGAGUUCUCAACAAUCAUGGCCAUAAAUUUUGAAUCUGUGUAUCAUCUGUCCCAAAUCGCACACCCCCUUUUAAAGGCAUCAGGAGCCGGAAGCAUUGUAUUCAUCUCCUCUGUUUGCGGCAUAGUGGCACACAAGAAUAUCUCUGCUUAUUCAGUAACCAAAGGUAUUUCAUCACAUGAUCCGUGGUAUAUUCCAAGUGCUAGGAGCAAAUUCCUAUUUAAGAGAGCAAUACCGAACAUGAGAAACAUAUAGAAUUUAUAGCGGUUCUCUUCUAAAGGGAGAGCUACAUCCAUUUUACCAUUGUAGAUUUUCAUUAUGAAAAAAAAAACCUACACAACGAUCUCAUGUCUUACAAUAAUCAUCUCUCCUCUAAUUUUCCACUGAGAAAACAGUCACCAUGCAUGUAUAAAAUAACUAAAAUAUCCCUUUGAUUGAUUCUCAGUCACCAGGAAAAGUGUAUAUUGUAAUUAGCAAGGCUCCACACAACUGAACAGCAAGUCCUUGGAUUGACCAUCUGCCAUUAUCAUUUUGUGAUUUUUCAGGAGCAAUGAAUCAACUUACAAAGAAUUUGGCAUGUGAGUGGGCGGAAGACAAUAUUAGAAGUAAUGCAGUUGCUCCUUGGUACAUCAAAACUCCGAUGGUGGAUCAGGUAAUUCAGUUGCUCUAUUUUUUUUGUCUGGGAAAAUUCCAUAAUCAAUUCCUCUCUCUUUGCUGUCUUUUGCAUAAUCUGGGUUGCAGAUGCUCAGUAACAAAACCUUUCUGGAAGGGGUGAUAAAUCGAACUCCACUUCGCCGUGUGGGAGAUCCGAAGGAGGUGUCAUCUGUGGUGGCAUUUCUCUGUCUACCAGCAUCAUCGUACAUUACUGGACAGACUAUUUGUGUUGAUGGUGGCAUGACUGUUAAUGGGUUUGAGCCAAACCUGCUCUAGGAACAUCGAUCAUAUCAUGCGUGAUGGUGUUAUAGCCUUUGGCUGGCUUAUGUAUGGGAACUGUCUCAAUAAUUAUAGCUUCAUUGUCUGGAUCCCGUCCCUUUUCCUGAACAAUCUGCUUGUGAUGGUAAUUUUUUUUCUUUUUUUUUUUGGGUCCUUUGAAAACCUUGCUGCCUGAUGCUUAUAAUAAUUGUUGGAAAGUUUGCUAAUUUUUUAUUCGAGUUCAAAUUUAAAGUUUUCAGAAGUUACUUAUCAUUCGAUGAGAUUCUUGUGAAGGGCGUUUUCUAUGGCCAGGUUUACCCUGUUUAUAAGGAUUUAACUCCAUACAUGAAUCAUACCAUAUCAUAAGUGAACAAAAUUAUAAGAUUGAAAAUACCAUGCCAUAACCACUGAUACAUGACCAUUACAAAGUUAAUUUGUUACUUACAUAAUUUUUUUUAGUAGAACAACUUCAAUAUAUAUGUUAUUACUUAUUUCUCCUUUUUUGGAUUUUCAUAAUAUUUCUCUGAAUUUUGAUUAAUUUCUAUUUUAUCAUAUUUUUAUCUUAAUUUUUAUAUAAUAUUUUGAUAUGUCCAUAAAAUUUAACUAAUAAUAUUUUUGUAAUUUCUAAUAUUAUUAAGGAUAAGUAAACACAAAUUUUUAUAGUAGUUCAAUACACCUUGCCUACAUUUAUUUUCCUCAAGUUCCAACCGAGUAAGGGUCACUAUCCUUAAAGCUUCAAUGAAGAUUUCAAUGUUUUACACUUGGAUUCCAACUCCAACGAGUGCUAUAAGAUCUCUUCAAGUAUUCCUCAACUUGAAGUUUUGAAUAUAUACAACCUCACUUCAAUAAUUAAUGAAAAAAAAAAAAUACUCCCCACUUAACUCAACGUACAAAUACAAAGAAAAGUUAUGAUGAAUCAAAGGAGCACACUAAAAUGAUUUGCAAGUGAAAAUCAAUGCACUGAAGAAGAAAAUAAAAGCUUUUAAUGAGAAGCUAGUGGUUGGGAAGAUGAUUGCAAGUAUUCUCACACUUAUAAAUGAAAUGGAAUUCUUUAUUUUUAGGUUUUUAAUCUCAAACACCAAAAACACAAAAAUGUGGCCUUAUCCAGUUGAACUCCUGUUUGAUCAAUUGACUAGCUAUUGGACAUUAAAUCCACAACAAGUAAUUAUUGA
rnacentral:lncRNA from 1 species